rnacentral:lncRNA from 1 species
CUGAGUGUGGCUGGGUCCAAACACAUAAUGCAGUUUACUGGUUGAAAUUGAUUCAGUGCACUCAGAUGAUAGCCCUUGAAAGGCACCAGAAAGAGGGUAGCAUCAAUCUGAAGGCAGCAAGCAAGGAAAUGUGACAGUCUUUGCAUUCAUUCUCUGCUGAGAGGAGUACAGACACACAGUGAGGACCUGGGCAUGUGUUCCCAGAAACCUGGUAAUUGAGGCAACAUGGAUUUUGGAAUGCAGAACAUCAGAACUACCAAACAUGCCCUGGAACAGAGAAUCACUACGAGGGAGAUGCAUAGCUCUGAUUGUAUGGAUGCACUGAGGUACCCCAAGAGGUGUAAGGUUGUGAUCCACAAAAGCAACUAAAUAUCAAAGCUUUCAAUAGAAGCCCAGUGCCUAAAUGCUUCGGUAAGCAUCAAAAUCAGCUGUAAACGCUUCUGAUCUUGUGCAGCACCUGAAAAGUUGUGAAAAUCACCACAAGCAAGAAACAAUUGAGGUUGUGAUGGUUUCAGAAAAUUGUUACAAAGACAAUUUACGUAUCCUUUUGCUAUCAACAGCACACAUGCUUUGUGCUCUGCAGCAUGUCAUCAAAUGCUUCAGUUAAUUACUCACUAAUUAUAACACUGUUGAAUGGCUACACUGUGGCAACCAUAUAAUUAUGGAGCAUAAAGUACUGAGCAGUUGCAAGGCUGAGCAUAUUGACUGAUUACAAUAAAUCCCCUGCUUAUUGUUGAUAUUUUUCA